ACAUAAAUACAUCAAAUUGCCUUGUACGUUUCCUCUGUCAUAUAAAGGAAGUAAAAAGGAAAUCUGAUAUCAUAAUGUCUUAUCCAUUAUAUACAUGGUAUCUAAUACACUCAAGCAUGUAUAAUGCGAUGUACCAAUGUGUCUGCAUUUUGUAUUAUGGGCCUUUGGCCUAGAACUACAGAAAUAAAUCUGUCUGUCUGUCUGU